CCUAAAAUGACAGAUGGAUUGUGUAGGACUUAAGAUCCUCCCAGGAAGCCGUAGCUUCUUUUAGAA
rnacentral:tRNA from 1 species